rnacentral:rRNA from 1 species
AGCGAACGCUGGCGGCAGGCCUAACACAUGCAAGUCGAACGAACCUUUCGGGGUUAGUGGCGGACGGGUGAGUAACGCGUGGGAACGUGCCCUUUUCUACGGAAUAGCCUCGGGAAACUGAGAGUAAUACCGUAUACGCCCUUUGGGGGAAAGAUUUAUCGGAAAAGGAUCGGCCCGCGUUGGAUUAGGUAGUUGGUGGGGUAAUGGCCUACCAAGCCGACGAUCCAUAGCUGGUUUGAGAGGAUGAUCAGCCACACUGGGACUGAGACACGGCCCAGACUCCUACGGGAGGCAGCAGUGGGGAAUCUUAGACAAUGGGGGCAACCCUGAUCUAGCCAUGCCGCGUGAGUGAUGAAGGCCUUAGGGUUGUAAAGCUCUUUCAGCUGGGAAGAUAAUGACGGUACCAGCAGAAGAAGCCCCGGCUAACUCCGUG